CAAAACACGCUUCCAACCCCCUCAUCGGGGAUCGGGAUGCGGCAUAUGGCCCCUCGUCUCGCAAGGGACGGUGAGCCGAAGAUCGGGCUGCCGAUGUAUCGUGUCGGACACAGCGCAUGGUGGGCGUCUUUGCUUUAUCAGCGCAGUGCAUUCGACGCGUAGCCGCAUGAUGGCCUAAAAAAGACCCAGCUAACGGAGCGCAUGUCGCUUCGAUC
rnacentral:misc_RNA from 1 species